CAGCUUUCUGAGUUGUCUGUAACUCUGAAGCUGCCUUCUCCCCCUGACUGAGUACUCUCUGUGACUUGCAGAAAAGCCACAGUGUGGGCAUCUGACCACAGUGGAGCCCAAGCCUAUCUAAACUGGAGACCUUACAUGCCUACACUCCUAAGAAAAUGAAAUAAAGCAGAGCUCCCUAUUGGGGGGUCAGCGGUUUGUGGCCGAAGAUCAACUCAACCUGUUAAUAUUCUUUUUCACCAUGUCACACAAUGCCAUGGAGAGGACAUAGACUCAGAACAGACCCUAUGCCAACCCAUGUCUUCCAUUCCAGAAAGACAAUAGGGCUGGGGGAAAGACAAAUACUGGGGGCAACCCCUGUCCCAGGCACUCUCCGUUUACACAACCACAGCUGUCUCUCUUGGCACACUGGUUAAGAGUUAUUUAACUCAGCUAGUUACAGAGUGUUUCUCAACUCCUUGAAGUCCAGUAAAUAUUAGCCAGUGAAUUUCCUGAGAUACUUUAAGGCAGAUGUUUGUAAACUGAGGUCCAUGGACAGAAUGUAGGAGUCUAUGACUGUGGAUGGGAAAUAAAUUACACAUUCACUUUUAAUAAUAUCUGUGCUUUAUCUCCAAUAGAAAUCCCCAAUGUUUUCAUCAGCACGUUUCAUUGUUGCAAAUAUCUCAAACUAUGUUAUGCUCAUCACUCCCUCACAAGUAUGGUGGUUUCAGGUCUACCACUAAAGCUUGUUGUUCAAUGCAUCAGUGAAGAAGUACAUUGCUAUGGACUGAACGUUUGUGUCACCCUAAAAUUAAUGUUAAAGUCCUAGCCCUAAUGUGAUGGCAACAGGACUAAUAUACACAUAUAAUAUAUUUUAAAACAAUUUGAUAACUUUGUCAUAAUUAGUUUCCUCUAUAAUCUUAUGUAUUCCCUUUCAUGCAUUUUAAAGUGUUAUUCUAAGAAUGGAUCCACUGACUUCACCCUUUCCUAAGGAGACUAACAUUCUUUUAUGUCUUAUUCAUCCUCACCAAAGGAUAUUUUUUCCAUUGAUUUUUAGAGAGAGUAGAAGGAAGGAGGGAAAGAGA